CAGGAAGUCAGGCUGGAGCUCCUCAGAGCUGCAGUGAUGCCAUUUUAUUGACUUAGUGAGCAGUGGAAGUGCAGGAGUACUUAUAAAUCCCAACACGAUCCUCUAGCACGGAGUGCAGGUGAGGCAGCGUUUUCACAAGGACUGGAGGAAUCGUUACAUUUCAUUACUUUAGAGUAACGCCACAUAUUAUUUUAUGUUUCAGCUUAGACUCCUGCUCUGUGGGUGUGCUAAGGCACUGUUCUGUCUCUUAUCGUGCCAGUUUCCAUAGGAAGUUACAAGGAAUCUAGUAGUCAUGUCUUUGAUUCGGGGUGGACAUGGGGUCAAGACCAAGCAAACACAGCACCAAGCUCUCAAUUAACCCCUGGCCUUGAUUUCCUGGGUAAGCUUUGGUUUUAGGUAGAAGCCAUACAAGAUAUUUGCACACCAGCACCCAUUUCAGCUCUACUUUGACACGCUGAAGUCUGCAGCUCUGAGCUGUGGCACGUGAUGGCCCAGUUGCAGGUCUGUGUGAAAGCAAACGGUUGAAUUCAAUGCAAUUCUGUUUACUAUUUCUUUUUCCUGCCGCGAGAGAAACUCAUCUGUUUGCUUCCUGCCUUUGCCAUAUGGUGCUGCAUCUUGCAAAGACGAUGUAUAGGAACUAUUUGAUGUUUAUUUCAGGAAGGAUGUUUAAUCAUUCAACAGCCCCAAGCGAAUUUUACUCCCUUUUAAUUGAUGUUUAAAAACACAUACACUGCGGUCGUGCUUUUCUUGUUGUUUUUCUUUUCCUGAAGCAGCAGGGAGUUUGCCUGCAAGUAACUGAGAAAUGUGGGUGGUAGGUUUUGGCAACAGGACAGCUUUCACUUUUGCACUUCGUUUUGCUGAGAAUAAAAUGCAACAAGAAUUGUCACAUUUGUUUCAGUACCGUAUUUCAGAGAAGGUUUGUAAGCGAGGGUGCUGAAAUGUCUGUGGGUUUCCUUUUUUUUCUUUCCAGAGAGUGCUGAGAAAUAACCUGCUCUGCAGAUGCCAACAGAGGGCACCUAAGUCACAUUUAUUUUUCUUGGCAAACUCCCUUAUUUCUGAGCAAAUUUCCUUUUUCCUAUUAGAAGUGCGAAGGUUUUCUGCUGACAGACAAACUCAGUGAACCUUUGUAAUUGUCUUGACUAGGUUUUGGUUUCUUCUCCUUCAAAACAAACAGGAGGAGGAAGAACGCAGAGAAUAAAGUCAAGAUCCAGCAUAUCGUGUCAUUCAUGGGGAUUUCACGUAGAAUUUGAGCACCUGAGCCUCCUCCCUGCAUCUGGUGCAGACGGAGCCCAGAGGAGCAGCCAGAACAUCUGGGAAUGGACUAGAGGCAUAGAGCUGAGUCUUUGGAGUGGAAGUGCAUUUAGGGCAACGAACGGUCGAUGGACUGCAGUGGUGCCUAGAGCUUGCGAUGAUGCUGGCAGAUUUGCUACGUGGAACCCAGAGAACUCCCAUCAAAUAAGUAGAAAUGUUCAGUGUCUUGCUUAAAGUAGCGGUGCUUUGCCAAGGAGCUACAGAACCAUCAAGAAAGGAGAAGCCAACGUGAGGUGUAAGAAAUGCAUACAACUCUUCCAAGCUUUGGUCUUCUCACCUGUAUGAUGGAAAGAGCUGUGAUUUAAGAAGGGACAGGUGGCUCCAGCCAAAUCCAGCCCCUGAGGUGUGGCAGCGGCAGAAAGAAAGGUGGGAAAGAAGGAAAGCAAACAGCUCUUGUGUGUGACUUUGGCCAAUUACUUGCUGGUAGGCGUCAAGGAAGACAGGGCACAGUCUGCUCACCUUUUCCACAAAUAGACUGAGGGUUCCACCUGAGCACCUUCCAGCCAUUUCCCUCCAGACACCUCCAGCUCCCACCCAGAUAAACACGAAAUCCUUUCCUGUUUCCCUGGCUUUUCCCAUUUAUUGGCAUGACCUUUCCUGAGCACAGCAUCCGAGGAAGGUCCUGCAACCUACCCUGGUCCCCAGGCUUGCAGAAGACCUGCCAGAUCCUUUGUGGGAAGACCGCAGGGAGCCCACUGCAUUUUUUUUUCCAGUUGGCCGUGCUGUGGAUGCUCUUUGCUGCUGCAGGUGCUUGGCUGCAAGUGGCACACAAAAUCCACUUGUGUUGGAGCUCUCUCUGCGUAGCAGAUGGCUUUGUGAAGAACAAAGCAGAGGGCUGCUUGCAAUGAAGGAGAAGUGUGCUUUGCUGAGGGCAGGAUGUUCGCUCUGCAGCUCAGGGGAACCAGCUGGUAACGCUGCAGACCCUCUGCGUUUGGUGGCCAUGGGACGAAAGUGACACCAGGCUGCAUGUAAGCCCUGUGAAUGUUCUGCUUGAACAAAAGCAGGAGUGGUGCAGGCAGGAGGAACAGCUCUUUGCUUUUCUGCACUCUGCUAACACACCUACUUUCUGCUCUGCACCACUGCUGACAGUGUUGCUGCCUCGAACCAACGUUUUAUCCCAGUGAUACAGAAACACAGCGUUGACCUCGUUCCAGGGCCAGCCUCCAGCACUUCUUCCUACCUCCCAGAAAGGCCACAGAACCACUGAAAGCCUGAGGCUUGGUGACACUGCUAUGUGCCAGGGAUAGGAGCCUUUGUGAGCAAAGCCUUUGUUCUGUGCCACACAACAAAGCCCAGUAUCGAUCAGCCUUUUACCUGCCACCUGUUUACCCUGCCUGCCUUACAUUGUGCCAGAAGAAAAACCAGGAAACAGCAGCAGGCAGUAACUCACAGAAACCAGUGGGAGCUGGAGGAACCCAUCGCAGGAGCACAGUGCUGGUUUCCUUCCAGGAGAGAUGACUUCCAGAAUUCCUACAGAAUUCAAGAUGGACAGCAUUUCAAGAUGAAAAAAAAGCCCUUAAAGCGGAGCGUUGGGGCAACCUGAUUGCUGUUGGCUCCGUGUCAGCCUGGUUAUUUCUCUCUCUGCCUUGUGAAGCUCUUCAAACCCUGACAGGGCCCCAUCUGUUGCUGUGAGUUCCUCGCAAAGCGGGCUACAAAAGUAGUUGCUUCACACCGUCAGACAGGGCCAAAUUUUCAUGCGUGUUGUCAAUCACCACUUGCACAAACCACAAGGACCAUCCCACGGGCCGUGCUGAGAGCUAUUUCUAUUUUCUCACCACGGAAAGCAUUUAUUCGGCAUAGCUGGUCAUUUGGAACCGCUCACCCUGCCUCUUGCAGCUUCAGAUGAGGAAGAUCCCCUUGUUAUGCAUCUUAAUAAGAUGCUCAGUUAGCCCCCAUCAGCUCAGCUGGACAUGUCGAUGGCCACGGUGGGCUCAGCUGGUCACUAAACAGCAAUAAAAGGCCAAAGGGAGCGGAUAGCCUCCGUGUGGAAUGGCUGUGGGUUUCAUGAGUAGCUGUUCACCUCUGAGCUGGGAGAAAAAUGACUUUCAGCAUCUGUUUCCACCGACCCAGGAGCUCCCAACUUCUCGGUUGCUGUUAGGAAAAUGCCUGAACUCCAAAAGGGCGCUUGAGCACCAGAGAGAAACAGAAAUGGGAUCCUCGAUAAGAAACUCCAACUCCUCUGAAAUGUAGAGGUGUUGGAUGAGGAGUGCACACAGAGGAAAGGAAAACAAAGAGUCCAGCAGCUGCAGAUCAGGAAUAGCACUGCAAGUGCAUAAAAUUGUCUUGAGGAGACGCUGCGAUAUAUCAAAGGAAGCAACAAGUUCCUGUGAAAGAGCUGUGCUGUGGAGAGGGCUAUCACUCGUACCCUGCAAAAUGAGACUUGCCAGCAUGAGUCACGGUAAGCAGGAUGGAGAUACCAUCUGCACUGUCUGAGCAGUUCGGGGUAAGGAGAUUUCCUAAUGGCAAAUUCCUGACCAUUGAGUGAGACUGGGCUGACUGAGAGAGCUGUGCCAUCCUCGUUGUCGUGCCUCAGAGUGCUGCUCAGGUGGGGUUGGGAGUGCAUCCUGCUGUGCUGCUCUGAAAUGCUGCUGCUGGCACGGCUUAUGGCUGCUCUCAUUGGGGGCAGAGCGAAUU